rnacentral:pre_miRNA from 1 species
CCUGGCCUCCUGCAGUGCUAUGCUACGUGUAUUUGAUAAGCUGAGUUGGACACUUCAUGUUGUACAGUGUCAGUUUGUCAAAUACUCUAAGUACAGCACAUGCCUAGCAG